GCAAGUCGAACGGCAGCACGGAGAGCUUGCUCUCUGGUGGCGAGUGGCGAACGGUUGAGUAAUAUAUCGGAACGUGUCCAAUAAUGGGGGAUAACGAGUCGAAAGAUUCGCUAAUACCGCAUACGCCCUACGGGGGAAAGCAGGGGAUCGUAAGACCUUGCGUUAAUGGAGCGGCCGAUAUCUGAUUAGCUUGUUGGUGAGGUAAAGGCUCACCAAGGCGACGAUCAGUAGCUGGUUUGAGAGAACGACCAGCCACACUGGAACUGAGACACGGUCCAGACUCCUACGGGAGGCAGCAGUGGGGAAUUUUGGACAAUGGGGGCAACCCUGAUCCAGCCAUUCCGCGUGAGUGAAGAAGGCCUUCGGGUUGUAAAGCUCUUUCGCAAGGGAAGAAGACUUAUGAUCGAAUAAAUCAUGAGGUUGACGGUACCUUGAUAAGAAGCACCGGCUAACUACGUGCCAGCAGCCGCGGUAAUACGUAGGGUGCGAGCGUUAAUCGGAAUUACUGGGCGUAAAGCGUGCGCAGGCGGUUUUGUAAGUCGGAUGUGAAAUCCCCGGGCUCAACCUGGGAACUGCGUUCGAAACUGCAAGGCUAGAGUGUGUCAGAGGGGGGUAGAAUUCCACGUGUAGCAGUGAAAUGCGUAGAGAUGUGGAGGAAUACCAAUGGCGAAGGCAGCCCCCUGGGAUAACACUGACGCUCAUGCACGAAAGCGUGGGGAGCAAACAGGAUUAGAUACCCUGGUAGUCCACGCCCUAAACGAUGUCAACUAGUUGUUGGUAGAGUAAAAUCUAUGAGUAACGUAGCUAACGCGUGAAGUUGACCGCCUGGGGAGUACGGUCGCAAGAUUAAAACUCAAAGGAAUUGACGGGGGCCUGCACAGGCGGUGGAUUAUGUGGAUUAAUUCGAUGCAACGCGAAAAACCUUACCUGGCCUUGACAUGUACC
rnacentral:rRNA from 1 species